rnacentral:rRNA from 1 species
UACGUAGGGCGCAAGCGUUAUCCGGAAUUAUUGGGCGUAAAGAGCUCGUAGGCGGUUUGUCGCGUCUGCCGUGAAAGUCCGGGGCUCAACCCCGGAUCUGCGGUGGGUACGGGCAGACUAGAGUGAUGUAGGGGAGACUGGAAUUCCUGGUGUAGCGGUGAAAUGCGCAGAUAUCAGGAGGAACACCGAUGGCGAAGGCAGGUCUCUGGGCAUUAACUGACGCUGAGACACGAAAGCAUGGGGAGCAAACAGG